CUUCUUAGAGUGCGUGUGUAUUUUUUUUCAUUUCCCGUACGUUUAGAUAAACGACCAUGUUUAUGUGGAUAUCGAAUCCGUUCUCGAGGACCCUCGUGGCGCGUUAUCGGAUCGAUAUCGUGUCGGGACUACGAGAACUGAUGCAGGAGUUAUUUUUUGAACAGACGAGGGCAAGGGGGAAGAAAAACCCUAUCCGUUUUCGAUCCCCUAUUAAUUCAGGAGGAACGACACACGAGCUCGUGCAAAACGCAAAACUGAUCAUUAUGGUGGCAUGCGAUUUUGCCGUACUCAGCUCGCGCUUAAGCACGUGUCGAUGACGUCACCGUCACGUCUUGGAUGCACACAGGCAUUUCGCGGUCCUUUUCGGCACCUGUGUCUAACUAUAAUCGCUAUUGCUACCGUAUCGGUAGGUUUUAAACAAUUUCCGCCGAGGUUUUAU